ACACAGGAAAGGAGGUGUUCCGGAAGUGAUUUCUCUUCGGACUCGUGAGGUGGCUGCGGGCUGACGCCCGUUGUCACGCACUUUUCGCAGUGCAUGGCCGGACGCCGGCCAAUACCCAGCAGUCACCGACCCGCAGGCUCGCCGGUAAGUCCGGCCGGCUCCUCUGUGCACGGAGGAACCAGAGCCUGCGGGUUUCUGCGU
rfam:Streptomyces sp. IB2014 011-1 STIB_1, whole genome shotgun sequence.